rnacentral:tRNA from 1 species
GCUCCCGUAGUGUAGCCCGGCCAAUCAUUUCGGCCUCUCGAGCCGAAGACCCGGGUUCAAAUCCCGGCGGGAGCA